rnacentral:rRNA from 1 species
AUUGAACGCUGGCGGCAUGCCUUACACAUGCAAGUCGAACGGUAACAGGUCUUCGGAUGCUGACGAGUGGCGAACGGGUGAGUAAUACAUCGGAACGUGCCCGAGAGUAGGGGAUAACGAGGCGAAAGCUUUGCUAAUACCGCAUACGAUCUCAGGAUGAAAGCAGGGGACCGCAAGGCCUUGCGCUCACGGAGCGGCCGAUGGCAGAUUAGGUAGUUGGUGGGAUAAAAGCUUACCAAGCCGACGAUCUGUAGCUGGUCUGAGAGGACGACCAGCCACACUGGGACUGAGACACGGCCCAGACUCCCACGGGAGGCAGCAGUGGGGAAUUUUGGACAAUGGGCGCAAGCCUGAUCCAGCCAUGCCGCGUGCAGGAUGAAGGCCUUCGGGUUGUAAACUGCUUUAGUACGGAACGAAAAGACUCCUUCUAAUAAAGGGGGGUCAUGACGGUACCGUAAGAAUAAGCACCGGCUAACUACGUGCCAGCCGCCGCGGUAAGAC